rnacentral:rRNA from 1 species
UACGAAGGGGCUAGCGUUGCUCGGAAUCACUGGGCGUAAAGCGCACGUAGGCGGAUUGCUAAGCCAGGGGUGAAAUCCUGGAGCUCAACUCCAGAACUGCCUUUGAUACUGGCGAUCUUGAGUCCGGGAGAGGUGAGUGGAACUGCGAGUGUAGAGGUGAAAAUUCGUAGAUAUUCGGAAGAACACCAGUGGCGAAGGACGC